AACAGGAUUAGAUACCCUGGUAGUCCACGCCGUAAACGAUGUCGACUUGGAGGUUGUUCCCUUGAGGAGUGGCUUCCGGAGCUAACGCGUUAAGUCGACCGCCUGGGGAGUACGGCCGCAAGGUUAAAACUCAAAUGAAUUGACGGGGGCCCGCACAAGCGGUGGAGCAUGUGGUUUAAUUCGAUGCAACGCGAAGAACCUUACCUACUCUUGACAUCCAGAGAACUUAGCAGAGAUGCUUUGGUGCCUUCGGGAACUCUGAGACAGGUGCUGCAUGGCUGUCGUCAGCUCGUGUUGUGAAAUGUUGGGUUAAGUCCCGCAACGAGCGCAACCCUUAUCCUUUGUUGCCAGCGAUUAGGUCGGGAACUCAAAGGAGACUGCCAGUGAUAAACUGGAGGAAGGUGGGGAUGACGUCAAGUCAUCAUGGCCCUUACGACCAGGGCUACACACGUGCUACAAUGGCGCAUACAAAGAGAAGCGACCUCGCGAGAGCAAGCGGACCUCAUAAAGUGCGUCGUAGUCCGGAUUGGAGUCUGCAACUCGACUCCAUGAAGUCGGAAUCGCUAGUAAUCGUGGAUCAGAAUGCCACGGUGAAUACGUUCCCGGGCCUUGUACACACCGCCCGUCACACCAUGGGAGUGGGUUGCAAAAGAAGUAGGUAGCUUAACCUUCGGGAGGGCGCUUACCACUUUGUGAUUCAUGACUGGGGUGAAGUCGUAACAAGGUAACC
rnacentral:rRNA from 1 species